UUUUAAUCCCAAUCGAGUGAGCCAUGGAAUUGAGUGAGAUGAGAUAGGAAUAGUUCUUAUACAAUUAAGGAAUGGGUGGCAACAGGAGGAUGUAUAUUUUGACUUGUAAAAAAAUCUUAAAUGCAUGAGACUUUUUUCUGCUAGUCAUUUGCACUCUCCUUCCCAUCUGUAAUUCCUUUGUGUGCUAACAUGAAAAGUAACCAAGAGAACUAGCUCCUUUCUCCAAAAGUCUUCAAAAUAGUAAAACUCCUAAAACCUAUGUUAAAGAUAAAAACCUGUUUCUUUUCCCUUGCUAUUGAAGUCUGAGUAGGAACAAAAUUAUUAGAAAGACAAGUAAGGGUUUUCAAAAAGCUUAGAGAAGCUAAAAUUGAACCUGGUUCCUUGUGACUCAUGGAACCAACCCUCAGACUUCCCGGGAACCCAGAAACUAACAAGCUUUUGAAUCUUGGAAAUUUGUCAUUGACCUGAUACUUCUAUGGAUAUAAUAUCAAUAGUGCUUUAAAUUUAUCUCUGUUUCAAAUUUCAAAAAUACUUAGUUGUUAUCUCAAAUUCACUCUGAGGACUCCCUAGUACAGGGCAAGUUACACACUAAAAGAUGAAAAAUGCAUGCUCUAAAUAAAUGGAGUAGCCCCAAAGGACUACCUGCAUGGAAAAUGAACGUCUCUGUGGAACAUUCAUUAUGCCAAAGAAGAUUCACACUUUGUUCUUUAGAGAGCUUUCUGCAGUUGAUACCUUUUGUCUGCAGAAGCAAGUUGUCUUUGUAAAAUGGAUUCACUCCCUGCUUGAAGCUUCCCAGUCCAGACUGUCAGACAAUAGAUGUAUUGAGCUGAAGUACACUGCUUCCCUGCUGUGCAGACCUUUACUCUGGCAUAAAGACUCUUGAAAAUAUCCUAUUCAAAGGUUUACAU
rnacentral:lncRNA from 1 species